CAUAAUCUCUGAGGAGAAAAGCAGGGGAUCGCAAGACCUUGCGCUUUUGGAGCGGCCGAUGCCUGAUUAGCUUGUUGGUAAGGUAAAAGCUUACCAAGGCUUCGAUCAGUAGCUGGUCUGAGAGGACGACCAGCCACACUGGGACUGAGACACGGCCCAGACUCCUACGGGAGGCAGCAGUGGGGAAUUUUGGACAAUGGGGGCAACCCUGAUCCAGCCAUGCCGCGUGAGUGAAGAAGGCCUUCGGGUUGUAAAGCUCUUUCAGCCGGAACGAAACGGUUACGGUUAAUACCUGUGACUAAUGACGGUACCGGAAGAAGAAG
rnacentral:rRNA from 1 species